AUGGGCAUCAGCACUGCCGUCCAUGAUGCUAUUGCAUGCUUAUCCUAUCGUCAUCGUGCUGCACUAAACCCAUACUUCCUUGGAAAGAUUGGAUGGCAGAAGUUUGAUGGAGCAACUAUUGCCCUAACAGAAGCGCAGAAGAUGAAGUUCUCCCCACUGUUAGUGUACAAUCAGGAUGUAGAACAAUACAUCAAGAAUCUUCAGAUGGACCUCCUAGAAGCCCUGUUUGACAAUGAAGCACUACAAGAAGAGGUCGAGACUCAGAGACUGAAGGUAGACAAGCUGGAGGAGGAGAACCUCGAGAUCCCGAGAAUGCGUCAGGAACUGAAAAGCAGCAGGACCAUGGAUCAUGCAAAGGACGUUGAGAUCCAGAAGCUCAAGGAACAACUUCAGGACAUACAAGGUCGUCACAAGAAAAUCCGCGUCAACAGGGAAAAUCUAGCAGAAGAAUUGGAGGAGAUCAAGUCCACACAGAAGAAGCCCCAAUGGGGACAAUGA
rnacentral:rRNA from 1 species